UUUUCCAUUUUGAUCCUGGGUUAUUUGAAACUGAUUUUAAAUUAUUUCCAAGAUCCAAGGAAGGUUCAGUUCUUUUAAGAUCCAUGGAUUUUACUGUUACAAUAUUUUAGUAGCAAUACAAUUUACUUAAAAUGGGGUAAAUCACAGCUACUUUACCUGUUGAAGAAUGCACACAUAAAAUUAAUUAGUUAAAUUGUUAAAACACUAGGCCAAAGCUUAGAUCCAGUGACAGGCAAAGAAAAUCACAUUUUUUUUAUUAUCUUAGUAUGGCAAGGGCGACAAAUGUUGUCUGGCUUUUUUAUUUACAAAAAUAUGAGAAUUAUUUAUAAUUCAUUUUAUGCAUAAAGAAAAUAGUAAUCUAAAUUUGGUUGAUACAUAAUUUUAUACAUAUUGCAAUAAAGCUUAGGUGUCACUCAAUUAAAAACAAAAACAGCAUGGUAAAGCCGGAGUUUUAGGGAGUGAAACCAUUCCAAAAUAGUAGGAGUUAAUAUCGAUACAUGCAUAAAACUAGCAUAAUCCGCUAUGCCCAUAAGAGCUUCUGAAAAUCUUCUCAAUCCUAGACUCUAGUCCUUUCUGUUUAAAUAAUUUAUUUUUGUCAGUCCCAUCUGCUUACAAAGUAAAUUGCACUGCUUUAAACAUAUUGAACCACAUUUUUCAUUUCUUUUAAAUAUGCAAAUAUGCAAACUACAUUUAGAUGAUCUAUAAGAAAAUAUAUUUUAUGUAGUUGUUGUCAUCCCUCCACCCCCUUUCUAUCAAUCCAAUAGUGUUGUUUGAUAUUUUGAAAAUGCUAGGUAUAAUUAUCCAGGAAUGAUUUCUCAGAUUAGAAGUGAAACAGGGCUGGAUAUCCCUAAUAAAUGUGUGCAUGUUUUCUAUUAAACCCAUGAAUUUGUCAGAUAUAGUCCUGUAAAUGUUUCACUAAGGGUUGGCAGCCCAUUAGCCUUGCAUUUAUUUUGUAUUUACUUAUUUUAUUCAGUUUGAUGCUACCUGAGUAACCUGACAAUAAAUAACUCUGGGCAUUUAUAAUCAGCCUGCUGCUUUACUCCCAGCCAUUUCAAGAAUUUUUUUUUUUUUUUUUUAGGUUCUAGAAGAUCACCAUGAAAAUUAGGGAGAUGUUUACCAACAGAGAUAAGAAGCUGCUGCUUCUUCUUCUUUCUUUCUUUUUAAAAAAUGGUUACUUUAGUAAUUGCUUUUGGUGGCAUCCUAAACAGAAGGAUAUUGAAGGGAGCUGAUGCGGCUUUGAUCCUUAGGCUUGUUGUCAAAGCGCUUGGAAAUGAAGAGAGUGUUGGCUACAAUUGACUGACAAUUAGGAGAUGAUCAGAGCUCUAGAGUGGAACACUUAAAGGGUUUGCAUUUAAAGCACUCUGAGAGCACUAAUUGUAUAACAUUUUACAAACUGCACAUUCUCUUUCUGGAGAGGUAAUGAAUGAAUGGAAAAGGCUGGAAUUUAUUUGACAUUCUAGGCAGGAGCUUUUUCUGAGCACUUCUUGCUCUGUGUGAAAUUGGGAUGGAAGGUGUCAAAUCCUGAAGAAAGAGGCAGAUAUAGUGUUAGUGGUUGCUGCUGCCAAUGUAGUUGGUUUCUUCAUCCCACAUGUCCAAAUCGGAGCCAAGAUUUUUUUGAAGAUUUUAGUGCUGAUAGUGGAUUUUAGGCUUGUUGUGUUUGCUGUUUUAUUAUUUUGCAUAAUAUACCUCUUCCAAUAAUUUGAGAUAAAGGGGGAAGAGUUAGAUAAAAUCUUAAUGAGAUAGACUUCUAAUUGUUUUUUUUUUGUACAAUGUAUAAUAUAAUGGAUCUUAUAGAAAAGGGUACAAGACAA